AAUAUGGAUUACUCUUUUAAAGAAAAAAGCAAAAUAGUGAAGUACUAUUCGCAUUUCCUAACGACAAAGAAUUAAUUACGGUUGACUUCAUUUAGUUUCUUGGUGUAAUAAAAAAUUUACUUUUCUGUUUUCUGAACUUGCAAACCAGCUACUCACUCUCUUUCUUUCUCUGUCAGAAAAACGGGACCCAAAGGCUAAUCUGAACCGUUGGAUCCAUAUCUUGCCGGCGAUACAGAUGCGGCCGACCGCCCGAUCACUACCUCUUGUUCUACUCCUCGCCGCCUUCCUCAUCGUGUCUCCGGCGUUUGCUUCCGAGUCCGAUCACAAGGUAUAAAUCUGACAUAUUCUGCAUUGCAUCGGGGAAACCCUAAUUCUAGCUCAUUCUUUAUUUUUCAUAGUUCACUCUUGUAGAAAUUCCGUCACAUUCAUGGAAUUGUUCCCGUGUUAGUCAGAUAUUUGGGGAUUUUGAUUGCUGGGAUGUUACUCGUGCGUCAUUUUUGUAAUUUGUGAGCCAUUAAAAGUACAACGCAGUAUAAUCCG
rnacentral:lncRNA from 1 species